AGAGGACUGCUGCAAGGACUAGGAACUGUCAGUGUUUAGAGGAGCUGCCUAUGAGAAACAUUGGUGAGCUGGGUUGAAUGGAAGGCAAAAUCAACAUCUUCUUCGAAAAGUGUAUGAAAGAAGAAUGAGCAGAGAAAAUAAAUAUAAAACAAAAAGAAAGGGUCAUGUUUCAGCUGGCUGUCCUGCACGGGCCCCCUCGUACCUGUCUCCUGGAAUACUGUCUCUUCCCUCCCUGCACAGAUAGCCCCCAGCCUCCUUGUUGAAAUGUUCCUCCAGUCUGUGGCAAGGAUUCCUGUAAAGGAAUGGAGGACAUGGAGAACACGAGUGGUAGAACAUGGAUCACACUGCCUAGUGAGGCAGGAACUUCACAGCUGUGAUCUGUCCAGACUCCAUAUGUAUGUACCCUCCAGCACACUCACAAACUACAGGUUUUUCCUUAGUGUCCCAAAUGGGACAGGCUACCUGCAGCCCAGAGGCUGUUUUAAACUGUGUGAGCCAUCAGGGAAAGCCUAAAAGUACAUUUAACCUGACAGUCUGUGAGAUAUGGGGUUUACUUGGUGUAACAUAUGCACAUGAAGGCCUAAGGAUUAUUUGAUAAAAGAGUUGCAGUUAUGUAUGUUUCUGAGAGAUGAUGGAGAUUUAAAUGUGCACUUUCUCACCUCUUUCCUACCAUUUUCUGAGCUGCCCUCCUCUGAUCCACUGAUAUGUGAACAAGUAUACUGACACAUAUGUGUAUAUUCAUAUAUAAACAUUUUUUAAUGUAUAUGUAAAAAUGCACCUCAACUUCUCUGAUCUGCACAUGAACAAUUUGUGGGUAAGUUAUACCCCUUAAAAUUGCUGAACUUGUCUCAGGUAGGCAUGGAUAAAAGGAUCACUAGCUAUACCAAUUGAUCAGAGAAUCCUGUUCUUGCUAAAUAGAUAUUAAAAUAAUGUCAAGAUUCAGUAUGCCAAUAUGAAUGGUUUCAAAUAAAAAGAUAUCCUAAUGUUGGAAGUCUAAAUAACAAAAACCCUUCAGAAAGGCCCAUCGUGGUAAAUGGAUCUGCACCUGUGGGAAACAUCAAAGUCAGCAUGUCUUUUCCUUUGAACUGAAUUCUCUUUUAUCAUCCAUUUUUCUUCUAUGUGUUUAUCUAUAAAAAUACAAUAUUAUUAGCACUCUGUCAUCUUUCCACCAAUAUCAUGAGUUAAUACAAGUCAGAGCAAUAGAUAAAUUACAUUUUCUUUGGAGAUAUUAGUGCAAGCAGAGGGAAUUUAUAUACCUGUUCCUAUCCAAGAACAUGAGGGCAAAAUUUUCAAAUGCUUCCUGCAGGGGUCUGCUUCCACUCAAAUCAGUAUUGCUUCAGAAAUUUGUACAAACUCUGCUGCUUCCAAAAGUCACAUGAAUUUUCUAUUAGUGGAAUCUUCUGUGUUGUCUUAAGUCUGAGCAAGAUAUAGAUACUGUAAAUAGAUACAAUAAAAAUUGAACUCAG